rnacentral:misc_RNA from 1 species
GAUGAAGAACGUAGCGAAAUGCGAUAGUUGGUGUGAAUUGCAGAAUCCCGCGAAUCAUCGAGUUUUUGAACGCAAGUUGCGCCCGAAGCCAUUCGGCCGAGGGCACGUCUGCCUGGGUGUCACGCAUCGUUGCCCCCCCAAACUCCGGUUCGGGCAGGGCGGAAGUUGGCCUCCCGUGCGUGCCUGCGCGCGCGGUUAGCCCAAAAGCGAGUCCUCGGCGACGAGCGCCACGACAAUCGGUGGUUUUUUUACCCUCGUUCCUCGUCGUGCGUGCCCCGUCGCCCGAACGCGCUCUUGCGACCCUUACGCGUCGCCUCGGCGGCGCUCCCAACGCGACCCCAGGUCAGGCGGGACUACCCGCUGAGUUUAAGCAUAUCAAGAAGCGGAGGA